rnacentral:rRNA from 1 species
UAUGAACGCUGGCGGCGUGCCUAAUACAUGCAAGUCGAGCGAACAGACGAGGAGCUUGCUCCUCUGACGUUAGCGGCGGACGGGUGAGUAACACGUGGAUAACCUACCUAUAAGACUGGGAUAACUUCGGGAAACCGGAGCUAAUACCGGAUAAUAUAUUGAACCGCAUGGUUCAAUAGUGAAAGACGGUUUUGCUGUCACUUAUAGAUGGAUCCGCGCCGCAUUAGCUAGUUGGUAAAGUAACGGCUUACCAAGGCAACGAUGCGUAGCCGACCUGAGAGGGUGAUCGGCCACACUGGAACUGAGACACGGUCCAGACUCCUACGGGAGGCAGCAGUAGGGAAUCUUCCGCAAUGGGCGAAAGCCUGACGGAGCAACGCCGCGUGAGUGAUGAAGGUCUUCGGAUCGUAAAACUCUGUUAUUAGGGAAGAACAAAUGUGUAAGUAACUAUGCACGUCUUGACGGUACCUAAUCAGAAAGCCACGGCUAACUACGUG